UUAAUUCAAAUUUGGAUGGAGUUGGAAAGUUUGCCUACGUUUGCCGCUAGGGGCGCUGUUCCAACUGCAUACAGAGUUAGCUUU
rnacentral:pre_miRNA from 1 species